rnacentral:rRNA from 1 species
UCUGACGACCAUAGCAGCCUGGAACCACACCUUCCCAUCCCGAACAGGAACGUGAAACAGGCCCGCGCCGAUGAUAGUGCAGAUUACCUGUGUGAAAGUAGGUCAUCGUCAGAC